CGCCGGGACCCCCUCACCGGUCAGGUCUGCGCCCCGGGGAGCCGGGGAAGGCCGGCUGGGAGGAAGGUGUAUGCCUGCCAGCUUCUCCCGUGUUUCGCUCAUGUGAGACCAUCACGGCCAUGAGCGUCUCUGCAGGCGCAUCUCGACCACGGCGGUGCUGCUGAGUCCGGACCGCUGAGCUCUCAGGCGGGUCCUGGUGGUGGACGGAACUGAUCACUCAUUUCCUUGAAGGAGCAGAAGGUCCUGGAGGCCGGAGCCGGUACCGCGACCAAGGGAGACAGAGAGAAAGCGCCGGUCGUCUCCCCCAGCACAACCACCCGAUAGAACCGACAGCUGUCCUGGGACUCGCAGGAAGCAUGCGGCGGCGCUUCCCAGCCUGUGCGCCGCGUAGCUGCCGUCCUCAGGAACCCCCGAGCCCCCGCAGUCGCACGA